AUUGAACGCUGGCGGCAGGCCUAACACAUGCAAGUCGAGCGGGGUUUUCGGACCUAGCGGCGGAUGGGUGAGUAAUGCGUAGGAAGCUACCCGAUAGAGGGGGAUACCAGUUGGAAACGACUGUUAAUACCGCAUAAUGUCUACGGACCAAAGUGUGGGACCUUCGGGCCACAUGCUAUCGGAUGCGCCUACGUGGGAUUAGCUAGUUGGUGGGGUAAUGGCCCACUAAGGCGACGAUCCCUAGCUGGUUUGAGAGGAUGAUCAGCCACACUGGAACUGCGACACGGUCCAGACUCCUACGGGAGGCAGCAGUGGGGAAUAUUGGACAAUGGGCGCAAGCCUGAUCCAGCCAUGCCGCGUGUGUGAAGAAGGCCUUCGGGUUGUAAAGCACUUUCAGUAGGGAGGAAGGGUGUUGUGUUAACAGCACAGCAUUUUGACGUUACCUACAGAAGAAGCACCGGCUAACUCUGUGCCAGCAGCCGCCGUAACAC
rnacentral:rRNA from 1 species